GGGCCUGUAGCUCAGUCCGGUUAGAGCGCUCGACUCAUAAUCGAGUGGCCAUGAGUUCGAAUCUCAUCAGGCCCA
rnacentral:tRNA from 1 species